UGGCGGACGGGUGAGUAACGCGUGGGGAACCUGCCCUGUACAGGGGGAUAACACUUAGAAAUAGGUGCUAAUACCGCAUAAGCGCACAGUAUCGCAUGAUACAGUGUGAAAAACUCCGGUGGUACAGGAUGGACCCGCGUCUGAUUAGCUGGUUGGCGGGGUAACGGCCCACCAAGGCGACGAUCAGUAGCCGGCCUGAGAGGGUGAACGGCCACAUUGGGAUGAGACACGGCCCAAACUCCUACGGAAGGCAGCAG
rnacentral:rRNA from 1 species